GUGGUGAGGGCGCCGAGGUGCGGGGGCUCGUAACCAGGGCGACGGGGGCGGGGCGCUGGCCCUACGCCGCCGGGUGCUCACCUGGAUUGCGCGUCCACUUGGUUGAAGAUGGAAUAACCACAAGAGAUUUUCUCCAUGAAUGAUGACCACGCAGGUGAUAUAGUCGUGGAAAAAUACCUGGUGGAUUCCAAGAAGUCCGCAUCCCACGUUCAGCUCGCCUGCAGUGGGCAGUCCUGUGCUUUCCCCUUAGAUGCAAACGAACUUUGUGUAUGGGACACCAAGGAACCUCCUCACCAGGUUUGGGACCAUCGUAUGGGAUCAUUAACAUACAACUCAUCAGUGUUAACAGGUAACUUAAAACUUUUACCUGUUUUCUGUCCGUGGGCUAUGUGUAACCUAAUACAUGUUAACCUGUAAGCCAGAGCUGUGACAGUCAAGGGCGUCUGAAUCCAUUUAUCAGUCUCAGGGAUAGAGCAUACUUCUUGGAAUUAUGUUGGAAUUAUUUUCCUGAAAUUAACUAUGGGGACUUUAUUUGACUGUUAAGAAAACAAUUAUAAACUUGAUUUUGAUGUCAUCUAUAAAGUUUAUUUAGGACGUGCAGUGUUUUCAAUAUUCAUGUAUCCUAACUCUCCUUCUAAAUCCUUGACACUGUGGAUUCACAGUAAGUUUUAAAUGAAAUGACAUCCUAGGCAACGAUUUAAAAAAGAGACAUUCAUUUAAUUGCUGUUUUCACCACUAAUUCCGUAGCCUUAUUGUUUCUUACUUAAGAAUCGUUGUUGCUGCGUGUUUAAUGUUUUUUGGUGCUAUUCUCACUCUGGGAGUUAGUGACUCAUGGAGGGGCUGGGAUGACCCCCCAGGCUUCCCCCCGGGCCGUUCCGGCCACUGUCUUCCCACACUCAUGCACUUUCCAAAAUUUGUGUUCACUUACAGUUUCUACUUCCUGGUGAAGAACUUACUUUGGAAUAGUUUACAUGUGGCUAAAAGAAAUACCAUCAAUAGAAGUGCUGGCUCCCAGUUUAAACUCUGUCAGGCGCCUUUAAAGCUAAGAACUCGCGUGCCCCCUCCAAUAGCCUCUCCCCUCCCGAGUCUCCUUGUGAACCAGCGAAGGCUGCAGCUGGUCACCGGCUGUGUGGAUGGCCAGCUUCGGACCUUCGCUUUGGUGGAAGGACACCAUUAUCGCUGCGUGACACACGUUGACCUGAGGAAAGAGAGAGUUUCCGCACCAGGGGGGUGGAGUCCAAGCCAUGCAGCUGGCCAGGCACCUGCGUCGAUUCAUUUUCUUGUUACAGCAGAUUGUCAGUAA
rnacentral:lncRNA from 1 species